rnacentral:tRNA from 1 species
GGGGCCGUAGUUCAAUUGGUUAGAAUGCCGGCCUGUCACGCCGGAGGUCGCGAGUUCGAGUCUCGUCGGUCCCG